GUGCUUGGGCGAGAGUAGUACUAGGAUGGGUG
rnacentral:rRNA from 1 species